AUUGAACGCUGGCGGCAUGCUUUACACAUGCAAGUCGAACGGCAGCGCGGGCUUCGGCCUGGCGGCGAGUGGCGAACGGGUGAGUAAUGCAUCGGAACGUGCCCAGUAGUGGGGGAUAGCCCGGCGAAAGCCGGAUUAAUACCGCAUACGUCCUGAGGGUGAAAGCGGGGGACCGAAAGGCCUCGCGCUAUUGGAGCGGCCGAUGUCGGAUUAGCUAGUUGGUGGGGUAAAGGCUUACCAAGGCGACGAUCCGUAGCUGGUCUGAGAGGACGACCAGCCACAAUGGGACUGAGACACGGCCCAGACUCCUACGGGAGGCAGCAGUGGGGAAUUUUGGACAAUGGGGGCAACCCUGAUCCAGCCAUGCCGCGUGCGGGAAGAAGGCCUUCGGGUUGUAAACCGCUUUUGUUCGGGAAGAAAUCAUCUGGGUUAAUACCCCGGGGGGAUGACGGUACCGGAAGAAUAAGCACCGGCUAAAUACGUGC
rnacentral:rRNA from 1 species